GCGGCAGCCCAACCGUCAAGCAGCUGAUCGCUGACACUCAAUGUGGUUUCACUUUUUUUUAGAAAUGGUUUAGCGUCGUCAGAAAAAGUCCGUUAGCAUCUCAAAGAAGUGCCAGAAAAAAAACAUCUAUGACACAGGAGAAGUUCCUGAUUUUAACAUUUCUGAAGGGAGCUUCUGACAGAGAGGAUGAAAACAUACACAUUUUGAUGUCCACGCUGUAGGAGCAUUACUACAUAAGUUCUUCCAUGCUGAUGGCUGUGCUCUAGUCAUAUCUCCUGUCGAAGAACAUUUUUAGACCUUAUGAACCAUGAAUAAGUUUAGCUCCAACCCCAGUUAAGCAGACCUGAGCAGCUGAUCAAGGAUCAGCAGAAACUCUGCAGAACGGUGGUCCUUCAGCCCAGGACUGGACACCAGUGUUGAGUGUCUGUCUCAGAAGCUGAAGAAAAAAGGCCACACCUUAUAGGAAAUAAACGCCCCCUAAGUGUACGGAAAUACCUGGCUGAGGAGAUCAGUGACACGAACCAGAUAAAACUGUCAGUGGUAAGUGUUUACAUAUCCAUAUCCGAAUGGAAUUGCUACAACCUCUUAUCUAAUAUGACUCGAAGUCUGAGACAGCUACAAGCCACAAAAACAGUUCAUAGUUCCUGCAUUUCUAUUAAUGCAUUAAUGAAUAACAAUAAUUAAAAUAAAAUGUAAUGUCAAGGUUUUGUGUUAAUUCCAGCUAUGUUGAGUAUUCUGUGAAUAAUUUUGAUUUUAUGUGCAUAUUCUUAAUUCUUUGCAAAACAACCUGAACUGUUUGCUAUUGAAAGGUUGGUAUGAAGUUUAAAUAAAUAAAAAAAUUAUAUUCUUGACAAAA